UACGUAGGGUGCAAGCGUUAAUCGGAAUUACUGGGCGUAAAGCGUGCGCAGGCGGUUGUGCAAGACAGAUGUGAAAUCCCCGGGCUCAACCUGGGAACUGCAUUUGUGACUGAACGGCUGGAGUGCGGCAGAGGGGGAUGGAAUUCCGCGUGUAGCAGUGAAAUGCGUAGAUAUGCGGAGGAACACCGAUGGCGAAGGCAAUCCCCUGGGCCUGCACUGACGCUCAUGCACGAAAGCGUGGGGAGCAAACAGG
rnacentral:rRNA from 1 species